GUCGCAAGACCAAAGUGGGGGACCUUCGGGCCUCAUGCCAUCAGAUGUGCCCAGAUGGGAUUAGCUAGUAGGUGGGGUAACGGCUCACCUAGGCGACGAUCCCUAGCUGGUCUGAGAGGAUGACCAGCCACACUGGAACUGAGACACGGUCCAGACUCCUACGGGAGGCAGCAGUGGGGAAUAUUGCACAAUGGGCGCAAGCCUGAUGCAGCCAUGCCGCGUGUGUGAAGAAGGCCUUCGGGUUGUAAAGCACUUUCAGCGGGGAGGAAGGCGAUAAGGUUAAUAACCUCAUCGAUUGACGUUACCCGCAGAAGAAGCACCGGCUAACUCCGUGCCAGCAGCCGCGGUAAUACGGAGGGUGCAAGCGUUAAUCGGAAUUACUGGGCGUAAAGCGCACGCAGGCGGUCUGUCAAGUCGGAUGUGAAAUCCCCGGGCUUAACCUGGGAACUGCAUUCGAAACUGGCAGGCUAGAGUCUUGUAGAGGGGGGUAGAAUUCCAGGUGUAGCGGUGAAAUGCGUAGAGAUCUGGAGGAAUACCGGUGGCGAAGGCGGCCCCCUGGACAAAGACUGACGCUCAGGUGCGAAAGCGUGGGGAGCAAACAGGAUUAGAUACCCUGGUAGUCCACGCCGUAAACGAUGUCGAUUUGGAGGUUGUGCCCUUGAGGCGUGGCUUCCGGAGCUAACGCGUUAAAUCGACCGCCUGGGGAGUACGGCCGCAAGGUUAAAACUCAAAUGAAUUGACGGGGGCCCGCACAAGCGGUGGAGCAUGUGGUUUAAUUCGAUGCAACGCGAAGAACCUUACCUGGUCUUGACAUCCACAGAACUUUCCAGAGAUGGAUUGGUGCCUUCGGGAACUGUGAGACAGGUGCUGCAUGGCUGUCGUCAGCUCGUGUUGUGAAAUGUUGGGUUAAGUCCCGCAACGAGCGCAACCCUUAUCCUUUGUUGCCAGCGGU
rnacentral:rRNA from 1 species